CACUAAACUCGCCCCGCUUUCUGCGGAACGCCACUUUCUCUUUGAGAUUUGCAAAAUGCAAGUGAACAGUAAAGAAGAAACGCGUUCGUGGAAGAGAAAUAAUGACCUCAGGAAAUGUUACUAAUUAAGAUGUAGAGAAUGCGCACGCUAAUGGCCCCCUCUCUCUUUUUGAACUGUGACAUUUUAAUGAGGGUGUUUUAAAGAGUGGCAGAUGAGUGAAAAUGGUGUUUUUGAAACGUUCGGUCUUGGCUUCUUUUCAGGGUCUUAAUUAUGUUCGAAAGUCACUUCAUGCGGCUCCCGCCCCCUCCUUUGAUAAGCACUUUCACAAUUAUUGGGAGAAAAAAGCUUUUUCCUCGUUAGCUGCAUGUUCAGUACUUGCUCUGUUGACUGAUAGGGUGUGUUUGUGUACUUGUGUUUGUGUGUACAUGUAUGACUAUGUGUGAGUAAAUGUAUGUAAAAGAGCGUGUAUUGCGCAUGUAUAUGUGUGUGGAAUGUGUGUAUAUGUAACUGUGUGCAUGUGUGUGUGUAUAUAACCGUGUGUGUUUCUGUG